rnacentral:rRNA from 1 species
GGCGUAGCCUGAUGGAGCGCGCCGCGUGUGUGAAGAAGGCUUUCGGGUCGUAAAGCUCUGUUGUAUGGGAAGAAAUGGACGAAUACUGCUGUUUCUCCCUCGACGGUUCCUUACCAGAAAGGGACGGCUUAAUACGUGCCAGCAGCCGCGGUAAUAA